AGUGGGCGGAGGAAGCUCAUCAGCGGGGCCACGUGCUGAGUGCGUGUCACUCUUCGGCCCCUGGGAAGGUCUGAGACUUGGGCCUCCCGCGGCCCUAACCGGGCUCUCCCCGAGCGGGGAGGUGAGUUCCCAGAGAGCAGGGCUCUACGCUUGGGCAGACUGGGCAGGAGAAGCCCCGAGUCGGGGCGGAUGCCUCCCUCGCCGGAGCGGAUGCCUCCCUCGCCGGAGCUUGGAACAGACUCACGGCCAGCAGUGCGAGUUCAAUGGCUGAGGUGAGGCACCUCCCGGGCCUCAUAACCCAAUUCAGACUACUCUCCCCCGCCCU
rnacentral:RNase_P_RNA from 1 species